AAACUGUAACAAGAAAGACGAUACAUUGAGAAAGUAAAUCAACUUAUUUUACUAAUUAUUACCACCAAAAAGACUACUACAAAGAACGUAAAGGAAAAGGUCUAAAAUUUCAACUUAUUUUACUAAUUAUUACCACCAGAAAGACUAGUACAAAGAGCAACAAAGAACGUAAAGGAAAAGGUCUAAAAUUUCAACAAAUAUGCCUUAAUAUUUGUAUAAUAAGUGCAUUGCCCACCAUCCAAGAUCUAUGCUAGUCAUGGUAUGUUCUUCAAUAGGCGGAACUAAAAGCUAUGUAUCGUAGAAAACAAAUUCAUUUUCUCUUGGCAUGAUCUCAUUUCAG
rnacentral:lncRNA from 1 species